rnacentral:tRNA from 1 species
GGAGAAGUACCCAAGUAGGUCGAAGGGGACGGUUUGCUAAACCGUUAGGUCGGCUUAAACCGGCGCGAGGGUUCGAAUCCCUCCUUCUCCG